GCCACGUCAUGAUCGGGCUCCGCUCUCCAGCCGGGCAGUGUAUGGUGGGAGCCAAGAUGGCGGCGGCCGCAGCAGCCAGUAUUCGAGAGAGACAAACAGUGGCUUUGAAACGUAUGUUGAAUUUUAAUGUGCCUCAUAUUAAAAACAGCACUGGAGAACCAGUAUGGAAGGUGCUCAUUUAUGACAGAUUUGGCCAAGAUAUCAUCUCUCCUCUGCUAUCUGUGAAGGAGCUGAGAGACAUGGGAAUCACUCUGCAUCUGCUUUUGCACUCUGAUCGAGAUCCUAUUCCAGAUGUUCCUGCAGUGUACUUCGUAAUGCCAACUGAAGAAAAUAUUGACAGAAUGUGUCAGGAUCUUCGAAAUCAACUCUAUGAAUCAUAUUAUUUAAAUUUUAUUUCUGCUAUUUCAAGAAGUAAACUGGAAGAUAUUGCAAAUGCAGCAUUAGCAGCUAGUGCAGUAACACAAGUAGCCAAGGUUUUCGAUCAGUAUCUCAAUUUUAUUACUUUGGAAGAUGAUAUGUUUGUAUUAUGUAAUCAAAAUAAGGAGCUUGUUUCAUAUCGUGCCAUUAACAGACCAGAUAUCACAGACACAGAAAUGGAAACUGUUAUGGACACUAUUGUUGACAGCCUCUUUUGCUUUUUUGUUACACUGGGUGCUGUCCCUAUAAUCAGAUGUUCAAGAGGAACAGCAGCAGAAAUGGUAGCAGUGAAACUAGAUAAGAAACUUCGGGAAAAUCUGAGAGAUGCAAGAAACAGUCUUUUUACAGGUGACACACUUGGAGCUGGCCAGUUCAGCUUCCAAAGGCCUUUAUUAGUCCUUGUUGACAGAAACAUAGAUUUGGCAACUCCUUUACACCAUACUUGGACAUAUCAAGCCUUGGUGCAUGAUGUACUGGAUUUCCACUUGAACAGAGUUAAUUUGGAAGAGUCUUCAGGAGUGGAGAAUUCCCCAGCUGGUGCUAGACCAAAGAGAAAAAACAAGAAGUCUUAUGAUUUAACUCCAGUUGAUAAAUUUUGGCAGAAACAUAAAGGAAGUCCAUUCCCAGAAGUUGCAGAAUCAGUUCAGCAAGAACUAGAGUCUUACAGAGCACAGGAAGAUGAGGUUAAACGACUUAAAAGCAUUAUGGGACUAGAAGGGGAAGAUGAAGGAGCCAUAAGUAUGCUGUCUGACAAUACUGCUAAGUUAACAUCAGCCGUUAGUUCUUUGCCAGAACUCCUUGAAAAAAAAAGACUUAUUGAUCUCCAUACAAAUGUUGCCACUGCUGUUUUAGAACAUAUAAAGGCAAGAAAAUUGGAUGUAUAUUUUGAAUAUGAAGAAAAAAUAAUGAGCAAAACUACUCUGGAUAAAUCGCUUCUAGAUAUAAUAUCAGACCCUGAUGCAGGAACUCCAGAAGAUAAAAUGAGGCUGUUUCUUAUCUAUUACAUAAGUGCACAGCAAGCACCUUCUGAGGCUGAUUUGGAGCAAUACAAAAAAGCUUUAACUGAUGCUGGAUGCAACCUUAAUCCCUUACAAUAUAUCAAACAGUGGAAGGCUUUUGCCAAGAUGGCUUCAGCUCCUACCAGCUAUGGCAACACUACCACUAAACCAAUGGGUCUCUUAUCACGAGUCAUGAAUACAGGAUCACAAUUUGUGAUGGAAGGAGUGAAGAACCUGGUAUUGAAACAGCAAAAUCUACCUGUUACUCGUAUUUUAGACAAUCUCAUGGAGAUGAAGUCAAACGCUGAAACUGAUGACUAUAGAUAUUUUGAUCCCAAAAUGCUGCGGGGCAAUGACAGAAACACUACCAAAGUUACAAAAGAAGCUGCUGGUAGCAACUGCAGCUGGCAAGAAAGAAUUUGACAAAGAAUAAAUUAUAGAAGGGAGAGAAUGAGGAGUGACAACUAAUGGGUAUGGGGCUUCUUUGGCGGGUGAUUAAAAUGUUCUGAAAUUAGACAGUGGUGAUGGUUGUACAACUCUGCAAAUAUUCUAAAAACCAGAUUGUACACUUUAAAAUGGUGGAUUUGCAACUCUUGAUGUUCUCGAGCUUACAAUUUUUCCUUCCUCGUGUUUGCAUCAGUAGAUAUAUUUUGCAUUUUAGAAACUUCUGAGAAAUUCUUUUAAUCUUCCCUAUAGUUUAUGCAUGAUAAUGAGGAGGAAUAUUAGCAUUGAUAAGACAGUGAAACACAGUUUCAUUUUUUAAUAGACUCAGCCUUCUCUUGAGCUGUCUCAUCACAAUUAGAUCUUGGUUUUUAAUAACUAGUAAUGCUGUGCUAUUUAAGUCUCACGUCUCCUCAUCUCAUGUCUACUCUUAGAGGAACUUAAAGCACUCUAGAAGGAAGUUUGUGAGGCAUUUCUGUCAGGGCAGCUACUGGCUCCUUCUGUGGAAUAUUGACACAGGCCACAGAAAUGAGGAAAAGAUGGAACUGUGGAAUCAACCUGUGAAUAAUUGAGAGGUUAUAAUAGCUCUCUCCCCUUGGUUGAGAUUUUCAAAAAUGGCUUGUGAGGAAAACCUAAGUUAUCUUUGUAAAGCCUAUUUUAGCACUCAAAACAAAUAUAUAUUUGACUCACAAAAGCUUUGAAAAUUGUGUUUAUUAAAAGAUCUCUUUGACACCAAGAAAGUAUUUUUGAAAUAUAUUACAAAUAUAUAAAUAUGUAAUUAAUAUAUAAAUAUUAAAAAGCUAUAGCAAAAUACACAUCCCUUCUUCCAUCCCCUCUUUGCUUUCUAAAUUGUUAUCCUUCCCAUACAUGUGUUUGCAUAGUUUUUUCACAAAUGUAGAUACCCACAAACUGUAAUCUGUUGAGUAUGGUAAAAAUUUUACAUAAUUUACCACUAAAGUAUAUAUUUUAUUAAUUCACCUUAUACUCAGAUUUCCACUCCUCGUGGGAACUGUUGCUCAGUCUUUCCUUUUCCCUCUCAGUCUUCUCCUAGAAUUUUAUUUUGAAGUCAACAAGUUGUCCCAUUCCCUUUUAGACACUGAGAUAUGUACUUCAUCUAGCUGUUCCUCUGAAUCCCACUUCACUACCUGGCUCAAAGAAGGUGAAGGAAGAAGAAUUGUAAAUACAUAGCUAAUAGUGCGUGCGUGUGUCUAUGUGUUUCCCAUGCCUAUUUUAUCCUUAAGUGAAGCUUUGGGUGAAAUUUUCGUGUGUGUUUUUUGUUGUUGUUCUUACAGCUCAGUUCCAAGGAACAAAAAUCCAUUUCAAGAGGUAAGUUCAUAUAAAAAUCUUCUGUCUCUGAAAUGGAAGGAUGAAAGGUAACCAAGCAGUCUUGAAGAAUAUCUUUGUCCUAAACAUAGCUUUAUGAUGAUUACUGUAUGGCAGUCUUGAUAAAUCCAAUUCCAUGUACCUAAGAUUCUUUAUAAAUGACAAAUUCAAAAAUAACUUUUGGAAAAAGCCCUUUGGAUUUAUUUGGUAUUGUUUAAUUGAAGGAUGAAGUUUAUUUUCCUCAGAAUUGUUUCUGAAAAAUCUCCACUUCAUUUUACUACUCGAUAGAAAUUAGAAAUUUAUAAAUUUAUAGACUUUUCUAAGAAAUAAAUUUCUUUAUAAUUGAAGUAGCAUCAGGCACUUAGGUAAAAAAAUACUAGCCAGCAAGGGAUCACAUCCUAAGUUGUGGAAUGGGCUCCAGACUAUACCCCAUGUUUGAGAGUUAAAAUACUGUUUUAACUAUUUCUUUUAACUUACCUAUUUUUAUUCUGUUUGCAUUUUUAGGCAAUUGUUUUUGUGGUGGGAGGAGGCAACUACAUUGAAUAUCAAAAUCUUGUUGACUACAUAAAGGGGAAACAAGGCAAGCACAUCUUAUAUGGCUGCAGUGAACUUUUUAAUGCUACACAGUU